UUUAAUAUGGCAGAUAAGUGCAUUGGUCUUAAAAUCCAUCUAUAAAGAAUCAUUUCUUUUAUUAAAA
rnacentral:tRNA from 1 species